rnacentral:misc_RNA from 1 species
AGUUUCUUUCAUUUUGCCCAUUGUUUGAUUUUCAAUUUGGGAAGCAAUAUUUUAGUUAUAUUUGUAAUAAAUUACUGUGCAAAAAUGUCGACAGCACAGAGAUCGUUUGUACAAAAAGUUUCAAAGCAACCAGCGGCAGAUGUGCGCAAAAACAUUACUAUGCAUAUGACGUCUAAGCCCACCAACUGCAGCUCAGUGUGUUCAUCUACUCUGUCUCUCACUGAACCGCUUGAUUAUGAAGAAUUCCUUAUUCAAAACAUUAAUAUUAUUAACCGAGAUCCUUUAAAGCAUAUUUUGGAUUUUCCUCAAGGAGAUGUGUCAGUUAAAACAAUUCCGAGAAAGAUUCGCACUGUCGAGCACAUUAUUCCUAAAGCAAAUAUCUCUGACUUACCAAAGCAUGUACAGGAAAGCAUUCAUUGUUACACGCGUCCUUGGAAAGUUGUAGAAUAUGCACAACGCCACUACUCAAGCUCGUGUUGUACACGAGAGCGUAUUGAUCGCGAAACUAUUAGCCCUUCGGGCUACCAGCAAGAGUUCGAGAUUGAUAGAGACUUUUCCUCCUUUGACGAGUCAUUCACCGAUAAGAGCGAAAGUUGCACACCUAGUUCCAGACAAUCUAUAGCCAGCUUAGCCUCGGUUAGUUCUUGUACCGAUACGCUAACUCCUCGCAGUUCUUGGGCAAGUUUUGAUUUAAGGCGCUCUGUUAAUGACCCUCUUAUUCCAAAUUUAUUGGAUAAUGUACCGCCAGAACAAAUUGAUCAAUUAAAUGACACGCGGCGGCAGGAGGAUCGGCAAGAUGCCUUCUUUUCCCUUUAUCCGGAUAUUGAAAAUGAAGAAGUUGUUGAGCGCAGGUUUCCCGCUGAAGUUCCAGUAGAACAUAUUGGUCAUCGCAUACAAGUUAAGUGUCUACAACUAAAGUUGGAGUUAGAAGUAGAGCCUAUAUUCGCAUCAAUGGCAAUUUACGAUGCAAAAGAGCGACUGAAAGUAUCUGAAAAUUUUUACUUUGAUAUGAAUUCGGACAAUCUGAAACUUAUGUUAUCAACCCAUGUUCGGUGUGCCGACGUAAGCACGCAAAGUCGCUCCGCAAUAUUUGAAAUUUCAUAUCCAAGUAAUGAUUUAUUUCUUGUUAUACGACUGGAAAAAGUUCUGCAGGGUGACAUUAAUAAUUCUGUGGAGCCCUACCUUAAAGAGGACAAAGACAAGUACCGAGAAAAAGUAAAGUCAAAUGCAAUGGAUUAUUGUGAGCGCCUGGGAAAAUAUCGCAUGCCUUUUGCUUGGACUGCUAUAUACCUAACAAACGUCUUUAAUGGGGACAACUUCGAAAAUAAGGACUCUUACGUUGGUGAGAGGGACUCAUCGAACAGCAGUGGCAGUGCAAUUUUGGGUUCUGCCGUAAGCUCAAAUAGCUUAGAUCGUAAGUCUUCUACUAGCAGUUUUGAUCAGCUACGCCGAAAAGCUAACGAUAUGAGCGGUACGCUAACAAGGCGGGGUUCACUAGAACGGAAAGAAAAACGCCGCUCUUGGUCACCAGAUGACUUCGCCAACGUUGUUGAAAGUUUUCGUCCAAUUACUUUAACAGUGCCAAGUUUUUUUAAGCAAGAGGCAGAUAAAAUGAAAGAUGAAGACUUAUACAAAAUUUUACCCGAGCUUAAAAGGCCAAGUACAGUCAUAAAAAAAUAUAAAUGUAUUCCGGGAUCCAUAAAAUUGGAAAUAUCACCUUGUGUUGAAGAUGUUACGAAUGCGUUAACACCGGAAUUGGCUAAAAUCGAGCCACAUAAUGGCGACAAACUACGCCCAGUUAAAGAAAUAUUGGAAUUCCCCCCGCUACCCAUUUAUAAUCCCCAUUAUAGCUAUCGUAAUCUACUAUUUGUGUCUCCUAAAGAGUUAAAUUUUUCAUCACGCGCCGGCUCGGCUCGUAACAUUGCCAUUCGUAUACAAUUGAUGGCAGGUGAAACACCAAAUGAUGCAGUCAAUGCCAUCUUUGGUAAAUCGUCGUGUCCGGAAUUUACGACCGAAGCAUUUACAUGCGUCAAUUACCAUAACAAGUGUCCAUCAUUCUAUGACGAGAUUAAGAUUGCUCUGCCCGCUUUCAUCAAGCAGCACCACCAUUUAUUGUUCACCAUCUACCACGUAUCAUGCCAAAAAAAGCCACACGAUUUGCAACUUUCAGUGGAAACUCCCAUCGGCUACACUUGGUUACCACUUCUGGAGGAUGGAAAACUAAAAGUUGGCGAAUUCAAUUUGCCUGUUAUGGUGGAAACACCCCCGGAGAACUACUCUUUUAUCCCACCAAAUGUUCAUCUUCCUGGAAUAAAAUGGCUCGACAACCAUCGCGCUGUAUUUUCCAUUAAUGUGGAUGCCGUGACUUCAGUUCACACUUUGGAUGCACACCUAGAUCGAUUUUUUUUGAUCUGCGAAUAUUUGGACACCCGAAACAUUCCUUCCCACAUUGGCGAGUGUAAUAUGGAAGCCGAGUUAAAAAGGUGCCUACUGGACAUAGAUCAUGCUAGUCGUGAUUCACUUGUUAGGCAUCUGCCUCUUGUGUUGGACAAGCUAAUUGAAUUGUUGGUUACUACACAUAAAGUAGGAGGCCAAAUUAUGUCUUUGGGUUCGACUGUGUUCGAGGUGCUUUGCUUAGUUUCAGCUCAGCUUUCAAUACUAAACGACAUAGACCAAUAUGGACGCCAGAGCUUGUUUUCCACUUAUGUGCAGUUCCAAUGCAAAAUACCGCGCCCCUUCAGUACUAAACACAUCACUACCAAUGAGUUCUUAUCGAAGGAAACCUGUAGCAUUUACGAUAAUGAUUCAAGCACUCAUACUGCUGCUCUUGAAGUGAGCCCACAUCCGAGAGUGGGACUAGAAUCGAAUGCCAGUCAUGUACGCUUGCUACACGAAGAGCUCGUCUUGCAGUACACCCUGUCUAGUGGGAGAGUGGCAGAUAUUGCUAUGAGUAAUUCAUGGUUUCUCUUUGAGCUUAUUAUCAAAUCUAUGAUAGAACACUUAGAUAAUUCAGGUACCUUGAAUGCUCCACGUAAACAGCGGUUUUCACACCAGUUUAACGAAGACGUAGCCUCGCUUGUCGCAGUUGUAACCAACAAAGUAAUUGAGUACCAUAGCACAGACCCAAGAUUAGCUCAGUCAUUGAAUGCAAGCUUAAGCUUUUUGAUUUUCGAUCUACUGAGCAUUAUGGAUCGUGGAUUUGUCUUUGGCUUAAUUAAAAUAUACUCGAAGCUUAUAACAUCAAGAAAUGCGUUAGUACCUGAUUUGAUGAACUAUAAACUCGACUUUCAACGAAUUGUAUGCAGUCACGAACAUUUUGUAGCGUUAAAUUGUCCUUUCGGUACUUCUUACACGACCAUCUCAGCGCCUUGCAGCCCAACUCCCAGCACUACAUCUAACACUAGUCAGAGUUCAUAUGGAUCCAUUGAACGUGCGUUGCACGCCGACCUUAGUACUGAAUUUCGUCAACAGCACUUUCUCAUCGGCCUUGUGUUAAGCGAUUUGGCCACUGUCAUGGAUGUGCCCAAUCCUCAGGUUCAUGGAAAAGCAAUUAACUGCAUCCGAAAUCUUUUAACUUCGCAUGACUCGCGGUACGAUGCGGAAGUACGCUCGCGAGUAGCUUCACUCUAUAUACCACUGCUUUCGAUAGUCAUGGAUACUUUUUCACAACUAUAUCAAUAUCUACCAGAUGCUCAAGAUCACGAUCGCUUGCAGCAGAUAGGUCUACUUGAAGAUUAUCAAGGACCUCACCAGACUAUAGCCACGGCCACUAUAAGCCCAGAAGUAGCAUAUGCUAUCUCAGGUAGUCGUGUAUACUCCUACAUGUCGGAACAAUCGAAAAACAAGGUUCCCUUGAACGCAGAGAAUACGCGUCACUUGCUGGCUUGUUUCCUUUGGGUGCUGAAAAAUUUGGAACGCACGGUACUCUAUCGCUGGCUUCUCGGCUUAAGCCCGCAUCGUGUGCACCAAAUGCUGCAAGUACUUAAUACAUGCUUAAAAGCUUUUGAAUAUUCGGGUCAAAAAAGGAUGCCCAUCCCUAAACGGGCUAAUACUCAUAGCUUUCGUAAAACAGCGCCAACUGAUGUUAAAGAAAAAUUAGAAGAAUGCAUUAGAGGAACAAAUUCGGCACGUUAUGAUUUGAUUAAUCGUCGCAAAGAUCGAAAUUCAACGGAAAAACUUCGCUGGCGUAAGGAGCACAUGCCAUACCGUUCGCAGUACAGUGAAGCAGUUACCAAAUGCGAACCAGAGCACGAAUUAAGUCAUUUUAUUGAGGGUUCUCUUUCUACUGAAAUUGCACUUAUAAUUCUAGAUUCCUUAGAAAUAGUAGUUCAUGUGGCUACUAACCUUCAUCAUAAUCUUCUAGGGACAGUACUAAAAGUCCUCCUGCAUAGUUUAUCUCGCAAUCAAUCGACCCUGGCAUUGCAAAAUUUAUUUGCUUCUCAACGUGCAUUGAUCUUUAAAUUUCCAAAUCUUCUGUUUGAAGAAGAAACCGAUAUAUGCGCAGAUUUAUGCCUUUUACUGUUAAAGCAUUGCGCAUCACAAUUACCAGGAAUUCGUUCACAGGCAGCUGCAUCGUUGUACCUGCUAAUGAGACAAAACUUUGAAAUUGGAAAUAACUUCGCACGCGUCAAAAUGCAGGUAACUAUGUCACUAAGCUCUCUAGUGGGGACUAGUGCAUCUUUUAGCGAACAGUCGCUUCGUCGUGCGUUAAAAACAAUUUUAGUCUACGCCGAGUCCGAUGCAGACUUGCAGGAAACUUCUUUUCCAGAACAAGUGCAAGAUUUAUUGUUCAAUCUGCAUAUGAUCCUCUCAGAUACUGUAAAAAUGAAGGAAUACCAGGAGGACCCAGAAAUGUUACUUGACCUAAUGAACCGCAUAGCAAAAGGGUAUCAAAACAAUCCAGACUUACGGCUAACAUGGCUAGAAAACAUGGCUAAAAAGCACCGUGAACGCGCUAAUCACACCGAGGCGGCCAUGUGCUACAUACAUGGGGCUGCCUUAGUUUCAGAAUAUCUUAGUAUGCUGGAAUCCCAAACACAUUUGCCUGUCGGUGCGGUAAGUUUUCAGCGCAUUUCACCAAAUACGUUUAUGGAGUCUGCGGUAUCGGAUGAUGUUCUUAGUCCCGGUGAAGAUGGCAUAUGUCUGGGCAACCACUUUACUGAGACGGGAUUAAAAGCAUUGCUCGAAGAGGCUUCUAAUUCUUUUCAAGUCGCAGGAAUGUAUGAAGCUAUGAACGAAGUAUAUAAAAUAUUAAUUCCAAUCUGUGAGGCGAACCGUGAAUUUCACAAGCUUGGCAAAAUUCAUGGCAAGCUUCAAGAAGCCUUUAAUCGAAUUGCACAGCUGCAGGGUAAAAGGGUGUUUGGAACAUAUUUUCGCGUUGGUUUCUAUGGCGCCAAAUUUGGAGAUCUGGACCAGCAAGAAUUCAUUUACAAAGAACCCACAUUAACAAAGUUGCCAGAAAUAUUUAGCAGACUUCAGAACUUCUAUGCGGAUAGAUUUGGUCCUGAAUCGGUGCAUAUUAUUAAGGACUCAAAUAAUUUUGAUUCAAACACAUUGGAUUCAGAAAAGGCGUAUAUACAAAUCACUUAUGUCGAACCCUACUUCGAAACCUAUGAAAUGCGUCAUCGCGAGACUUACUUUGAGCGAAAUUUUAAUAUAAGGUAACAAAAACAGAAGCUUUCAAACUGUGGGGCUGCGUAAAAUGAAACAUGCUCGCUUUGGGUGCAUGAAUGUAUUUUACCAAAAUGCCAAAAGCGGAAAAGCUUAUGGAAAAUUACAUGAGCAAUGCAAUCGAUAACUAGUAUUAC